CUUGCUCUCGGGUGACGAGUGGCGGACGGGUGAGUAAUGUCUGGGAAACUGCCCGAUGGAGGGGGAUAACUACUGGAAACGGUAGCUAAUACCGCAUAAUGUCGCAAGACCAAAGAGGGGGACCUUCGGGCCUCUUGCCAUCGGAUGUGCCCAGAUGGGAUUAGCUUGUAGGUGGGGUAACGGCUCACCUAGGCGACGAUCCCUAGCUGGUCUGAGAGGAUGACCAGCCACACUGGAACUGAGACACGGUCCAGACUCCUACGGGAGGCAGCAGUGGGGAAUAUUGCACAAUGGGCGCAAGCCUGAUGCAGCCAUGCCGCGUGUAUGAAGAAGGCCUUCGGGUUGUAAAGUACUUUCAGCGAGGAGGAAGGUGUUGUGGUUAAUAACCNCAGCAAUUGACGUUACUCGCAGAAGAAGCACCGGCUAACUCCGUGCCAGCAGCCGCGGUAAUACGGAGGGUGCAAGCGUUAAUCGGAAUUACUGGGCGUAAAGCGCACGCAGGCGGUCUGUCAAGUCGGAUGUGAAAUCCCCGGGCUCAACCUGGGAACUGCAUCCGAAACUGGCAGGCUAGAGUCUUGUAGAGGGGGGUAGAAUUCCAGGUGUAGCGGUGAAAUGCGUAGAGAUCUGGAGGAAUACCGGUGGCGAAGGCGGCCCCCUGGACAAAGACUGACGCUC
rnacentral:rRNA from 1 species